CUGAGGUUUAUUAGUUAUGGAUGAUUCAACUACUCUUAUUGUUCCAGCUGGCUGGCAAAUUUAUGACGAAUCAACUUCUUCUUCCCGCAAGUCUGCAACAUUAAGAAAAAUAAUGUCGAUGGCUUCUACCUCCAUCCCCCUCUUCUUCUUUCCUCCACCCGUCUUCUUCAUUUCUUCUUCCUUCACCUUCUUUUUCAUAUUUUUUCGAUCUUCUCUAACCAGUUCUCCCUCACCAUGGUGUAUCUUCAAUCCUCUCUGGUCUUUCUUAUUUCGAUCAUCUGAUCAAUUUAAGGGCGUUUUUUGUUUUUGAUGGGUACCUUUGAAGAUUUUUCUCCUUUCAGAUUUCUGACAGCAAGCCGAUGGAGAGUUGCCAGACAUGUGGAUGGAGAUGGGUCUUCUAUUGGUAAGUGAAUCUAGGUGUUAAUGGCAUAUUGUGGUCGAAUUUCAACUCCAAUUCGCUAAUCUGGUAUGUAAAUUGUAGUUGCACCUUCGAUUUCAAUGGUUUCUGGGUUGUGGGUUUAGAUUGGGGUUGUUCUUGUUUAACCUUUCCUUCCAAAUUUCGAUUUAAUUAUAGGUGCUUAGUAUAUUGUGAGAGUGUUUUGGUGCUAUAUGGUUGUGAGUAUAGUUUGAAUAGAAGUUCAAUUUGCAGGCAACUGAAAUUAGGGCGCGGAUUUGAGGUCCCCUGCCUGGAUUUUUGAUUUUAUGUUGUCGGUAAUUUGACUGAACAUAAUUGAAUUAACAAGUUUCUGAUUAAUAGAGUUGGUAUAUUGUUGAUUUUACUGGAUAUGUGUGAGUUCCUGGAUUUUUGGUUUUAUCUUGUGGGCAUUUUAAGGUUUUUAGACCCUGUUUUCUGUUGGGAAUCAACAUGUUUUAGAAUGCAACCCGAUGUAAUUACGUGAGCUACAUGUUUGCACAAUUUCUGUUGGACUUUAUGUCAAAUUAUUGACAGGAUAAUGUCUCACAAGUGUUUACCCGAUCUGAUUACGUGAGCUAUAUAUUUGUAUAAUUGACAAGAUUGUGGCUCACAAGUGUUUACAAAUGAACUUACUUUAAAAACUAUAAUCUGGUAUUCAUGGUUGUCACAGACGGGAAACCUUCACAAGAUACUCAAGCCUCGUAGGUGGACCAUAAUCAGAACCAUGCGAAAGAAAUAAGAGUUUAUUUUUGUGUUAGCUGAGAAUGGUACAAAAUUAGUAUCUCUUUAGUGUUUGAUCGCUUUUCCGUUAUUCUUCAUAUCAUAUGCAAGAGAAAUAAAAUACUUAUAUAUGAUUAGAUAGAACCAAAAUAUCAAAUGCCUACAAUUAAUGUUAUAAUAUUACUAUGUAGAAGUGUAGAACCAUUAACCAGUAGGAUACAUUUUCCAUGAAGCCAAACAAUAACACAAUACUUUAAAGCACUUUGAUGAUAUUCAAUGAGUACUGGGUUGAGGAUGCUGAGGACGAAAAUGCCUACAGUUACUGUUAUAAUAUGACUAUGUAGAAGUAUAGAACCAUUAACCGGUAGGAUACGAUUUCCAUGAAGCUAAACAAUAACACAAUACUUUAAAGAACUUUGAUGAUAUUCAAUGAGUACUCGGUUGAGGAUGCUGAAGACGAAAAACCACUAUUAGUCUAUUACCAUGCCAUUCCGAAAUGAAUGAUUGUAAAGCGGACUCUGUCUCCAUCAUACCGCCCACUAAUAAUAAAAUUAAAUGGAUAUUCUGAAGAAAAAAGAAGGAAAAAAAGAAGAAGAAUAGAGGCAAAAGAGAUAGACAUAGUAGAGAGAUUUACAAUAGGGAGGAUAAGAAGGGAGUAAAAAUUGAAGUGAGAUUUGGGGUUUGUGGAUUUUAUUUUUGAACUAAACAGUCGUUCUAAUCGGUUAUGAGUUUUAUGGCACAUCCCUUGGGUUGAAUACACAAAUCUUUCCUCGAUACGUGUUGAUGAGCCAAACAUGACCUUGGUAAUACUUCAAGGAUUUGUUCCUUUUUUACUCUUCAAGGUUAUGUGGUCCAACCCUUUUAAAAGAAAGGAGUGCUUAUUUAGAACAGUAAAAAGACUGUAAACCUAAACCCUUCUGAAAGUGAGAACACCAUAUUUAGAACAGUAAAAAGACUACAUUGUCCCUAAAUUUCUUCUUUGACUGAUUAAUUUCAACUGGGCAACAAUCCAUUCGGAUGUAGCCCCCUGGAAUGGUCCAAGCUUGAUCAGUUUAAAGAACUCAAGGCAGGAGCGGAGAUUGUUGUCGUCGCUACUCCUGGAAGACUGGUUGAUUUGCUGAAAGUGAAAGCAUUAACAAUGAAGAGAGCAACAUAUAUGGUGCUUGAUGAGGUAGAUCGCAUGUUUAACCUUGGUUUUGAGCCGUAAAUAAGGUCUAUUGUUGGUCAGAUCAGGCCAAACCGUCAGACUUUACUCUUUUCAGCCACGAUGCCUAGAAAAGUUGAGAAGUUGUAAAAAGAAAUACUUUCUGAUCCAGUGCGUGUUUCAGUAGGGGUGGUAGGUAUGGAAAAUGAAGAUAUAACUCAGAUUGUUCAAGUGCUUCGUAAGAUGUAGAUAAAUUACCUUGGCUCCUAAAAAAGUUGCAAGGAAUGAUUGAUGAAGGUGAUGUUUUGAUGUUAGCUUCGAUAAAGGCCUCCAUAGACGAACUUGAGUCUCAGCUUGAACAGAAAGGGUUCAAAGUUGCUUCUCUUCACGGUGAUAAAGGUCAGGCUUCUCGGAUGGAGAUACUGCAUAAGUUUAAAGCUGGGACAUACCAUGCUCUAAUUGCUACGGAUGUUGUUGCUCCAGGUCUUGAUAUAAAGUCAAUCAAGUCUGUCGUUAACUUUGACAUUGCAAAAGAUAUGGAUAUGCGUGUGCAUCGUAUUGGUUGCUGGUGAUAAAGAAGGAGUCGCAUACACUGUUAUCACACAAAAGGUGGCUAGGUUUGCUGUGGGAAAUUGUCAAUAGUUUGAUCGCUGCUGUUCAGAAUGUGUCCGUGGAACUGAUGGAUCAUGCCAUGAAGGAUGGAAGAUUCAGGUCUAAACGUGAUGCAAGGGAAGGAGGUGGUGGAAAUAAUGGAAAAGGGAGAGGAGGAAGAGGUGUUGGUGGUCGAGGUGUUCGUGGUGUAGAAAGUGGGAUAUAGUGUAUUUUUUGUUUGGUUUUUGGUUUAAAUGGGAUUAUUAUUAAGAUUAAUCAUUAAUGUGCAUUUUUUGCUAUGGACAUUUUUCUCAAGAAAGAUUAUCACUUUCACUUGAGAAAUUGUAUUUGAAGGACGUACGAGCUCAAGGUUGGUUGACACCCUACUCCACCAUAUUUACUACCUCUAUAUGAUAUUAUUUCUACUCUUGAGAUCGUGAUAAAAGCAUCAAUUUGGAACUUCAAUAAGUGUUAUGGACUAAUGUUAUAAUCUAAUAAUUGUUUCAUAAGGAUAAUAUCCCCAUGUAUUAUUGAAAUGUUUUCCUGGUUUACUAAUUUCUUGAUUUUGUUAACGUUAUCUUGUUAUUUCUGUGAUGUUCAUGUACAUGAUGAUGCAUCAGGCAGUAAUUAUGUAUUCGUAUGGAUCAAUAUAUGUUUCAGUGAGGCCUAUUCCUUCUAUUUAUUUGCUUUCAUUUGUUAGGAGAAUACUUAUCACGUUGAUGAAUGAUGAUAUCUUUUGGCUCCACUAUCUGCUAGAAUUUUAUCCUAUUUCCCUGUUUAAGGAUUUUAUGGUGUAAUUGUGAUGCACAUGCUCAGGAAGAAGAAAUUGAUAGUUCAAUGGAGAAAAUUUAUAUGUCUGGCGAUGUGGUGGUGAAUGGGUUAAGCUGCAGAUUAGGGAACUACGAUCCCAAGCUUCCAAGUAUGACCAUGAGCUAGCAGAAUGUGGUAGAAUAAAGCAGUAUGAAUUGGAGAAAUGUGCUGCUGAAGACCUUGCAGUGAAGUCAGCCCCUUCUGUUUGCCAGAAUCAAAUAGUAAGGGUUUUGAAGAGGAAGAAACGGAAAGAAGAACAACCAAUUUGGCUGCCUACUCAUCAUGACAUGGCUUGUUCUCAUAUUUUGUAAAUAAGAGACUUUUUGGUGACUUGGCUUAUUUGGAUGAUGACCAGUGAAAUACUGGGGAGAACAAAACUUAUGCUGAUAAGUUGUGGGCAUAUGGGUUUGGUUUUGCUCCCUAUACAAACUUGCAUGUUUCUAUACCCCCUACAUCCUAAAUCACGUGAGACUUCUAAGUGCUAAUGAUAUUGUGACUUAAGCUGAGUCAGUUUUCCAUGAAUUUUGAAAUCUUUGUCUGUGGGAGUAUUAAGAAAAUUAAUCAUAUUUCACGUGAGAGUGAGAGUGUGAGUGUGAGUGUGAGUGUGAGUGUGAGUGUGAGUGUGAGUGUGAGUGUGAGUGUGAGUGUGAGUGUGAGUGUGAGUGUGAGUGUAAGUUAUAAACUAUAAUAUGAUAAUACAACAUUUUGGCAAUUUGCACAAGACCCUGCUUGGAGCAUAACUACAUGUUGUGUCAUGGAAUUGGUGUGAUAUAUGUAGAAUCUUAUGUUCUGUAUGAUCUAUGAUCUUGUGCUCAACUUGUAACUUGAUCAUUCUUAAUGAUGAAAUGCAUUGUCUCCCGCUCUUUGUAGCUUCAUACACCUUUCUAUGAGGUGUUUAGUAUGGAUGAAAACUACAUUUUUUGUAGUUAUAUAUGGAGCUUAUGAAACAUCUUGUGAUGUAAAUGUUUUAAAGCUUCUUUUUACUAGGAAACUCCGAGUCCGUUGUGAGGUCAAAAUUCAUCGUCUUUUCGGUGGGAAUUCGCGCGCGAUAGCGUGCGGUCCGAAUCCUAGUUUUCCCAAAAGCCAAAACAUCUUGUGAAAGUUCUAAGCUAACGGAACCAAGGCGGAUCUAAACGUGUCGGUGGACGAUUGUAGAGUAACUACAAGUGGAGUUCUCGUUCUUGUUCGUGAGGAGUGGGAGUACACACAUCAAAUGUAUGUAUUCGUUUAAUCUAUACUUUUGCAUGAGAUUCUAGAUGUGGGAUUGUUUUCCGCUUUGUUAAUUAGUUAGAUUGGCAAUUAAGAAACUAAAUGUCAAUUCCCACCAACCCCACCCUUUGUAAUUAAUCAUGUUGACAAAUCAAGUUCUAUUGAAACCCUAGCGUACCUUGCCCUAGUAAUC